ACAUGCUUAUAGCAUAGCGUUAAUUCAUUGGAUCCCAUUAGAACUCUACAGUUAAGCGUGCUCAAGAUAGAGUAGUAUAGGGAUGGGUGACCACCUGAGAAGUCCUAGUAUUUUACAUGCC
rnacentral:rRNA from 1 species